UAUAGGAGAGGGGGUUGGCAGUAUAACAAUGGGCAUGAUUUAGCUAAUUUGACUAACAAGGGAGAUGGUACCCCCCUCAAAAGGCCUGACGCUUUGGGCUAUAGGCCGCCGCCUAUGGGUUAGCUAAAGUUAUUAUAGAUUACUCUCUGGUAUCUGCUCCCCUGUGAUCAAAGUCACCUGACCAGAGUAAAGUCCUGUUUUUCAACUCCCCCAGCUGGCCGUGCGAGGCUUCGCUCAUGGCUUUGGUCUGCAUACACAUCUUGUAUUUGUCUGGAGGGAGCUCGUCUGCACAGUUCUUCUCGUGCCACAAGUGGAAAAGGCCUCUGGACGGAGAGCGAAUCACCAUCAGCUUACUGUGAAGGUUCAGCGUUGAGACGACAGGAAGUUAAGAAGUCGGCGGUAAAGUGGAUGUCAACAUCACAGAAGAAGAGCAGGACAUUCUGACUGCGCCUCCAAGCCCUGGCGCCCACUUCUAAGCCCCGACCACGAGA